rnacentral:rRNA from 1 species
GACGAACGCUGGCGGCGUGCUUAACACAUGCAAGUCGAACGGUGAAGCUCCAGCUUGCUGGAGUGGAUCAGUGGCGAACGGGUGAGUAACACGUGAGCAACCUGCCCCAGACUCUGGAAUAAGCGCUGGAAACGGCGUCUAAUACUGGAUACGAGAUCAAGCCGCAUGGUUGUGGUCUGGAAAGUUUUGCGGUUUGGGAUGGGCUCGCGGCCUAUCAGCUUGUUGGUGAGGUACUGGCUCACCAAGGCGACGACGGGUAGCCGGCCUGAGAGGGCGACCGGCCACACUGGGACUGAGACACGGCCCAGACUCCUACGGGAGGCAGCAGUGGGGAAUAUUGCACAAUGGGCGAAAGCCUGAUGCAGCGACGCCGCGUGAGGGAUGACGGCCUUCGGGUUGUAAACCUCUUUCAGCAGGGAAGAAGCGAAAGUGACGGUACCUGCAGAAGAAGCACCGGCUAACUACGUG